CGCUUUAAUCCUGUGUACACUGUGCCGAGAAAAAAUGUGGUGCAUUUAGUGUGCACUGAGGAUGACAACACCCUUUGGACCGCGUAAUGUAGCUCGCAGUAUCUUUCGUGUGGUGCGCCGAUGUCGAUUAUCGUAGUUAUGGCCCGUUCACGCUUUCUUUGUGCCCAGCUCAUGAAAAGCCUUUGGUACUCUCGCAUCGGAUCACAGUGCGCGGAAGAAUUUGUUGAAAGUUGUGCUAUCACGUGCUGCAGUUAAUCCGCAAUUCAACAGUGUUUACGCCGGAAGGACCGUCGGCGCAGUCGAUGUCGCGGCACCUGUGACACGAAGGAACGUUUGCUGAGUACGCCUAGAAAGCAAACACCAACAAAAGCAAUGCUGCGAGUGACCAGGAAAAAAGCUGUUUAUGACAGCCUGAGGAGACCUGGCCACCACAACACUGUGCAGCUCAUGGACAAUUGGUAUGGCUGGGCCUGGAGAAGAAGUGUAAGCAGACCAUGCUAUGCUGCUGAUCGGCGCCGAUCUCCACAUCCAAGUCGGUCCUGCAACAGUUAGGCACCACUGUACCUUGCUUCAUUGACAAGGUGAUAUAAUAUGUUACCGCACCGUCACGUCCGGAGGGUGUUGGGGCGUCACUUGCGACUGCGGCUCGGUCAGUAAGCCCUCGAGCCGCAUCGUGUGCCGCCUCGUUGUUGCCGUCCUCUGCGAGGGUGUGAGCGGGUGUCCAGUGUGCAGUCAUCGCAUCGUGUUUAAGUUAUCAGCAGCCCGGAACUCCACUUCGCCGCACACUGCACGUGUGCGAAUUGGAUUUCGAGCGCACCAAGGCCCACCCCACCUACCGAUCCUGCUGCUGGUAUCUGCUCACCGCAGAUAGCCACGUCACGACAACGGAAGUGGAAGGCGCCACCGUCGUCUACAAAUACGGGCGUCUCUGCAAUGACCUCCUCAUUUGGCAGCAGCAGUGGCGACGAGCGGACACUCGUCUAAUCGAGGAUUUUCUACUGUCGUUACAGGUGCCCUACAAGCUCUCGCCCAAGAAACGCAAUCCAACGGUCUUCUCUCAGUAGACUAGGUGCAUCGAAGUACCAUUAGAAGGUCCAAUAAACAGUGCUUGUGA